AGAUUGAACGCUGGCGGCGUGCCUAACACAUGCAAGUCGAGCGGUAACAGGUGUAGCAAUACAUGCUGACGAGCGGCGAACGGGUGAGUAAUGCUUCGGAAUCUACCUUAUGGUGGGGAAUAACUAGCCGAAAGGUUAGCUAAUACCGCAUACGUCCUACGGGAGAAAGCAGGGGAUCGCAAGACCUUGCGCCAAAAGAUGAGCCGAAGUCGGAUUAGCUAGUUGGGUAGGUAACGGCCUACCGAAGGCGACGACUCCGUAGCGUGGUCUGGAGAGGACGACAGCCACACUGGAACUGAGACACGUCCA
rnacentral:rRNA from 1 species